GAUGAACGCUGGCGGCGUGCUUAACACAUGCAAGUCGAACGGAAAGGCUCCUGCUUGCAGGGGUACUCGAGUGGCGAACGGGUGAGUAACACGUGGGUGAUCUGCCCCGCACUUCGGGAUAAGCCUGGGAAACUGGGUCUAAUACCGGAUAGGACGAUGGUUUGGAUGCCAUUGUGGAAAGUUUUUCGGUGUGGGAUGAGCUCGCGGCCUAUCAGCUUGUUGGUGGGGUAAUGGCCUACCAAGGCGUCGACGGGUAGCCGGCCUGAGAGGGUGUACGGCCACAUUGGGACUGAGAUACGGCCCAGACUCCUACGGGAGGCAGCAGUGGGGAAUAUUGCACAAUGGGCGCAAGCCUGAUGCAGCGACGCCGCGUGGGGGAUGACGGCCUUCGGGUUGUAAACUCCUUUCGCUAGGGACGAAGCGCAAGUGACGGUACCUGGAGAAGAAGCACCGGCUAACUACGUG
rnacentral:rRNA from 1 species